CUUCGGCAAUGGACGAAAGUCUGACCGAGCAACGCCGCGUGAGUGAAGAAGGUUUUCGGAUCGUAAAACUCUGUUGGUAGAGAAGAACGUUGGUGAGAGUGGAAAGCUCAUCAAGUGACGGUAACUACCCAGAAGGACGGCUAACUACGUGCC
rnacentral:rRNA from 1 species